rnacentral:rRNA from 1 species
CACGUAGGGUGCGAGCGUUGUCCGGAAUUAUUGGGCGUAAAGAGCUCGUAGGCGGUGUGUCGCGUCGGCCGUGAAAACCUGCAGCUUAACUGUGGGCGUGCGGUCGAUACGGGCAUCACUGGAGUUCGGCAGGGGAGACUGGAAUUCCUGGUGUAGCGGUGAAAUGCGCAGAUAUCAGGAGGAACACCGGUGGCGAAGGCGGGUCUCUGGGCCGAUAUCGACGCUGAGGAGCGAAAGCGUGGGGAGCGAACAGG